CCCGGUGAGAAAUUUAACGGCCGCAGUUAGGAGCUGUGCUAAGGUAGCGUAGUAAGUUGUCCUUUAAAUGGGGAAAGGAAUGAAUGGUUUGACGUGAGGAAAGCUGUCUCAGGUGGAAGUGGAGAAAUUUUCUUUUCGGUGAAAAGCCCGAAAUAGUUUUAAAAGACGAGAAGACCCUUUCGAGCUUGAUUAGGUUUGGAAUAAAUUUUAAAGUGAAGUUUAGUUGGGGCAACUUGGGAGCAAAGUUAGACUCCUUGAAGGGGUAAGGAUCCAAAUGUUUUGAAAAGAGAAAAAGCUACCGUAGGGAUAACAGCGUUAUCUUUUCUGAGAGAACAUAUUGAAGAAAAG
rnacentral:rRNA from 2 species